GCAGACAGUGGAGAAAAGAAAAAUGAACAAGAUCCAGCACUGGCCCCUACAGAGCUCAAGGUCUGGAGGAGAGCCUGUCAUACCAACAGGCUGUGGUAACCCAGGAUGGUCAGACCAAGGUGGAGGGGAACACAGAAGUAGACCUGGAGAAGAGGCAAUAACUCAGUUAGGAAAUGGAGCAUGGAAAAGUGGACCAGAUUAUCCGAUCAGUGAAAUGAUAUUGGAAUUGCAAGAAUGGGGCUGGAAGAAGGACCCUGGAUAUUCGGGGGUGGGACCAUCUCAUGACUGAAAAUGUGGAGCAGAAUGUUGAUCCAAGGGUACCUCAAAGGUACAGAGAAGAAGGAAAAUGCUCUGAAGAUAG
rnacentral:lncRNA from 1 species